rnacentral:rRNA from 1 species
GAGAAGGGCGUUUGGUGGAUGCCUUGGCAGCAAGAGGCGAUGAAAGACGUGAUACUCUGCGAUAAGCCGUGAGGAGCUGAGAAUAAGCUUUGAUCCAUGGAUUUCUGAAUGGGGCAACCCACCUGACAGUU